rnacentral:lncRNA from 1 species
AUUUCUUGGGCCACUCCCGUGGCAUAUGGAGGUUCCCAAGCUAGGGGUCGAAUCGGAGCUAUAGCUGGUAGCCUAUGCCAGAGCCACAGCAAUGCGGAAUCCGAGCCGCCUCUGUGACCCACACCACAGCUCAGGGCAACACCGGAUCAUUAACCCACUGAGCAAGGGCAGGGAUUGAACCCGCAACCUCAUGGUUCCUAGUCGGAUUCGUUAACCACUGCGCCAUGAUGGGAACUCCUGAUUUUCUAUAUUAUUUUUAUUUUUUAUUUUGUUUGGUUGUGCUUUUCUUCUGUAUGCUUUGCCAUAUGUUUGAAAUGUUUGUAAUGAACAUGCAUUAUUUACAAAUUAUAAAAACAUUAUUUCAAAAAUCAAAGUGGGGCAGUUGUAGAAGGUUAUAUAUGAGAAAAGUUACAGUUCUGGAUGAUGCUUGACUCUAGGGAACAAAGGAAGAGGAGAUUUCAAAGUCCUGCUGAGAUUUGGAGGCAGGGCUCCAGGGAGAAGGACAGAACCACACCCAGAAUAGGAAGCCCAGCAGAGGACACAGCUGAUGGGAGCAAGCAUGUUCCUUCAGCCUAAAAUACACAUGUUUCAGGGGUUACUGUCAGUAGAGAGAUGCACAGUUAGAGAUUGGAAGAUAAAACUGGUUAGGAAGACAUACUUAUCAGUCAACACUAUAGAUAUAUAACUUGGAGUUAUGAAAAAGGAUGAGUUUCCAGGGGUGAUGUGCACACAGGAAGGACUUAUGGGUCCUGACACAAUGACACCAGCAUUGUGUUCAGGCAGGCCCUCUGGAAAGGAGAUAUCUGUUAAAAGGGUCACCUCCAGUCACCAAGCCCAAAACCAGAGCAGAAAUUGGCUGAAGCUGAGAUACAACAGAGCAUGUGGUCCAAACUUAUCUCGACACUCUGCAGUGCAGUUUGCAAUAAAAAUAUCUCCUCUGGACCCCUGCCAUUCUCAAAUUUCAGGCUCAACUUGGGUCACAGUGACACCAGAAUUCUCUUUCCAUCUCAGCACUGACUCUUGGCAUCUGGAGAGAGAGGCAGUCACACCAUAGUUGAUUUAUCACUUUGCCUGAGGCUCCAAGGAGUUUUCAAACCAGACCGAGUCUGUAAGUGCUACUGACUUUUUACCAAAUAAUUAUUGAUUGGAUUUUUUAAAAUGAAUGUACUUAUAAGGUCCUUAUGUUAUUUGAAAAUGCUUAACUCCAAGCCAAUGUAUUGAGUUAAGAACUAUUAAAUAAAUACAUCCCCUGUUAGUUGGCUGGAAUGCUGGGUAAAAGAUUAUGCAGACACCUGCUGUCAUCCAUCAUGCCUUAAUGCCAGUUAACCAAUACUUCUGGGCUGGAGUUAAUCAAGCCAGCCUCUCCCACCAGGUGAGGUUGGUUACCACCUGUUACUUUGGGUGAGUGAGAGGCCUAGCCAUGGAUUUUUAUUUAGCAGAGUUAUUUGACUUUGGCAGAUUGUUAAAAGAAGUAAUAUUUCAAAAUAAUGCAAUGGAGUGAUAUUUAUGAAAUUAUUUGCACAGUGUUACCAAGAUGCUGGCUCUCCUCUCCCCCUUAUAAAUCUCUCUCCAGAGAGGUCAGAAAAGCAGGAUUGCCAAACAUUUAGAUCAAGCAGGAUCUGCUGCAAAGAUCAUGAUAUUCAAGAUAGUAGAGACACUGGAAGUGACUGGUGGAGGAAGAUGCUGGCAGAACAAAAAUUAAAAGCAGAAAGGCGGAAAGGAACUGGGGACUCUUAUCCUUGACUUGGAAGGCCAGGCAGAGUACAAAGAAAGAGAGCAAGCAAAAAUUUCACACCAAACCAGUGUGAUGAGCCUUGCCUCCCACUCCUGACCCUGCCCAGCUAGAGCAUACCCGCUUGCUGGUCUUACAUUACUGAGGCUUGGCAACAUCACUUGGUCAAGAAAGGAUGUUUUUAAGUUUUGUGAACACUUCCCGCUGGCUCUGUCCAUUUGGAGUUACCAUUAUGGAAUAGGAGUGUGACAAGGAUUGGAAGUGACAUACACCAAACUCUGCAUGUCCCGGAGCCAGCCUCAAUGGCUCUGCCACUGUCACGUCAAGCUCCAUCACUCCUGGCUUCUCAGUGCCUGCGCCCAUGACACCUGUCAGAAACUUUCAAGUGUCUGCUCGUUUCUUCAUCAGGGUUGCCCGGGCAGCCUGGACAAGGAAGGGAUGACAUUUGGGAUGAGAGAGGAAUGGGCAGGGCCUCCCUCUUUCUGCCUCCUCCAACUGUCAGUUUGGGUUUUCUCUCAGCAUAUCAAAGUUUAGACCCAGCUGCCUUGUCAUUUAAAAAUGCAUGCAGCGGUAACCAGGUUGGAAAACAACGCUGGGGAGAGAGAACUUGGGCAUGUCUCCUCUGAGAAUGAUGCAUUGUGAGGAAAUUAAACAAACAAAAGGGGCAUCGCAGGAGGCUAUCUCUGCCCUUUGAAAAUGUGCUGCUUUGGGAGAUGAGUGGAGGCACUCAAGUCAUCUGCACACAUGGAUUCCUCUGCAUUAGUUUUCUCUUUCCGUUAAAGUGGAAUAAUUUGGCAUACAUGUUAUCCAAAAUAGCCGAGGUUUUCUUGGUGGGAGUUUUGAACUGUCUACUGUCUCUCUUCUUUUUAAUAAUGCUUUCAUUUUCAUAAAGAAUGGAAAGGCUAACAUACAGAUCUUCAUGAAAGGCAGACCUUCAUAAUGUUACUAGCUCCUUGUGGAUGCGAGUCUGUAAUUCACUCUUCUUAUUAACAUAAUCUGGACGAAUACGUAAAUGAGGAAGUGCUGCUUCCAGUCCAACCAAUGUUUUCAGUAAAUUUAACAGAUAGGACCAGAGUUAUUUCAGGACAAAAUGAGUGUUUGUUCUUCCUUUAGUCCACUUGUGCUGUGAUAACAUCCCAAACCACUUUCACAGAAUUAGUGUCAAUCCCCUGCAUCUCCUAUCAGUUUCCAGUUCCCUUUAACUCUGAAUCUUACCAAGGAAAUAUCACCCAGACCUGCGUGCUUUGUUUUGUUUUGCCUUAUCUCCCACAAUAAAUGACUCUUUCCAUUUGCUCAGGGGAUGUUCCUUCUCAAAACAGGACAUUCGACUGGGGGCUGAUGGUGCUGACGUCUUGUUGGGCAGCAUCUUGUCAGCCAUGGAGCCCUGGUAACUGCUAACUGUCCCGUAAGGUCUGUACACACAGAUACCCUACUAGGUGUGCUGGCUUCGGGGUCAGAUAUGGGGUCCAAUUCCAGCAUUGCCCCAGCUCUUUCCUAAGUCUUUCAUUAAUGACGCCGCCUUUUUGUGCUCUGUCUGUGAAUAUAAAAUGGGAAGAUAGAAUCAUGAUUUGCCUUACUUAGGAGAUACUUCUGAGGCCCAAAUGAGGUAAUGGUUAUGGAAUGAUUUUAAAAAGAACAGAGGGAUUAUUAUUUUUUAAAAGGGGAAGGGGUGAGGGAAGGUUUGGGUAAUUAAUCCUAAUAUAAAUGUAUCUUCUAAAUAGUGCAUAUGGAGAUCUACGACUAGGCUUUUCUUCAGCCACCACACCUAAGAAGCAAAUGGGCCCAACAGCCACGUUUGUUUGAUGGGAUGCUGACUACCUCCUGGAAGGAGAAGGAGAUAUAGAAACACACACCUCAAGAAGAAACACUGAAAAGAUAUGCUCUAUACUUUAAUUGUUCUAGAGUAGAACAAGAGAUUGCAGAAGCUCCCAUGUAAUCUGCACAGGUGAGGAGAACUAUUUGGUCCCAGAAAUUAAAAGAGAAGGAGAUGAUCAUGAUGGGUGACAGUGACAGUGGGGGAACCUCUCCAGGCUUUGCUGAUAGGGUCAAAGAGGAAUCUGGAAGGGAGAAGAAUAUAAACAUGGAAUUCUAAAAGGUUCACGAGGAGUAGGGUGAAGGGGCCUGUCAACGGCGAUAUUCUUCAUCAGGGUCAGCAGUUUGCUGUUCCAGGCUCACACAGGGUGGCACAGUGGAGGAUAGGGGCUUCAGAAAAGAAAAGCAGACCCACAGAGCAGAUAGUUCCCUCCACGUCCAGGUGUCUAACAACAAGUCAUACCGGCCCUGACAGACUAUGAGAUUCCAAGGGAGGGAAAUGAUGUGCUGGGCAUAAUGUGAGCAGUUCCCAGGCUAACACUGGGGCUAUCUACCUGCAUGGCUCCAGGUCCUUGUGUGUAGACAGGGAAGUCACCUCGGAAGGAGUACUUGCACUCCCACAAGCCAGCCUCACCAUCCUGCAGUUGACAAGGGUCAAGGGACUCUGUGCCCAUUUGUAAGUGCAAGGAGGUAUGACGGGACUCUUCCCUCCAUUGCUCAGUAUUCCUCUUUGGCUUAGAAGAUGGAGAAGUUCACUCUUCAGAAUUAGUGCUUCUACCGCACCCCGGGGGAGGAGUGAAUCUGCUGUAGGAAACUGGGCUCCAGCCUUAGCAUGCAGCUCUGUCUCUCUGGGCUCCCUUUCUCUGCUGUCCAUCUUGCUGCCUGCAGGGUAUUGGUUCUCCAUUUUGUUCUGGUUGUCAUGAGGUAGGGAAGCUCAUAGGAGCACAGAGUGCCUCUAACCGUGAAAUCGGCAAAAGGGCUAUACAAUCUUGGCUGAUGCCAUUCUGCAUACUUUAAUUUUAUCAACAAUAAAGUUGAUAUCUGUGUCCCUAUCUGACUCCUGUGUCAGUUUUUAAUUGUUUUUUGACUGCUGAAGGAAAGGGUUAUUCAACAUUUUAAUGGGAGAUUCUUGCUGGUAUAAAUCAAAUGCCUUUCUCUGGCAACUUCUGUGGAGAAAUUGAAGAACACUGACAUCAUAAACGGAACUGUGGGAAGUGAUUAAAAGUGAACCCCAGGUGUACUCUCAGAGGCAAUGCAUGAAUUAUAAACUAUGCAUGAGCCCUUGAAUAAUUCUCCCCAUGAUCCUAGUAGGGAGAGUUCCAUAGUGGAAAUAACUUGUGUUAGAGGCAGCUUAUGCCAACAUCUAAAACUAAAAUUUAGUAAAUGUAAUUGUGAAGUUGUAGAUCUAAUUCUAAAGGAAAAACCUUCACAGAUAUAGAAUCACUUAUAUAUCAUCACACACAUAUACAGAAGGACCUGCACUUUUAUGUUAACAAGUUCAGGGUUUUCCAGUAUCUCUUUGACUAUAAAUGUCAGUGGGAACUUUGAACAUGGAGGGAGAUAAGAGUCCUGUUCAAUUCCACUCUGGUAGAACCACUCCUAGAAUUUUUGAGGUCAGAUUGGAUGCAACACUUUGAGAAGGACACAUGAAAAAAAAAAGCUGAGUAGGCUAAGAGGCAAAGGAGGACAGUGAAGGGAAGGGACCCUGGGCAUGGGAAGUGGCAUCUUCAAAUAUCCGAGUGGUGGUCAUCACGUACAAGAGGAAGCAAGCUACACAGCCGUAAGACAGGACCAAAUGGUAAAUACAAGGAAGAGUUUUCUAAUAAUUAGAUCUAUUAGAAAUAGAAUAUUCUCCAGAGAGUGACUUUUUUUUUUAGUUAUCAAAGUAUAAACAAAAUUCAUGCAUGAGGUAAGAGUCAAAUGGGGUGAGAUGCUAUAGAAGCAUUCAUGUCCAAUGUGAUGUGAUUCUAGAAAUUCCUAGAAAUACAAAACUUAUCCAGCACAGCCUUGACUUGUUAUAACCAUCUCCUUCUGAAUGUGGAUUCUAUUCUCCUUUUUCCUGGCUGGUUCACUCACGGGGGCUAACCUGGGACGUUUCACUUGAGCUUUUGAUAAAUGUUUACUGAAUAACUGAAUAAUAGAUAGACACUCAAAUCUUUUUUGAUAACAGUGAUGAUGCAUUCAAUAAAAUUUGUCUAGUGGACUAAUAAACAAAGAAGGAUGUUAAGUAUUAGUGGAAUUUUCCCCCUCAUACUGUUUAUUAAAACAGCAAUUCUUCCUGAAUUGGUAAUAUUUCUCUUUAACCUUAUUUACAUAAGAGUUGAACGCAAUAUGUUGAACAGCCUUGAGGCAUCUCCCAGUGUGAAAAAGAGCAAGAUAAUUUAUAUUUUACAAAGGAUGCUCACAUCCAUUAUUUCUUUAAAAUCCUCAAAAUAACUUUAUGGGGUUGACAUUUUUCAAAUAAGGGAACAAAACCCAGAGGUAGGAAGGGACUUGCUCAAGGGCACAAAGCUAGUAAGUAGCAGGCCCUGAACCAAGGACAAGAUCCAUUAGUUCCAAGAUGCAUGCUCUUUCCACUGUAGAUCAAAUGCCUCUGACAAAGGUCCUAUAUAAAAAGAAGAAAGGUUGUAGGAUUCCAUGUGGUUAAAUUGGUCAGACUCACCUUCCCCUUAUUUUCCCCAUGUGACUAUCUUCCAAGCUUCCUGCAUUCCGUGAAGCCAACUGUUCACAGGAUAUGGCUCUGGUUUGCCUGAAUGAUGAGCUGAUGAUGAUGCUAUGUGAAUAUGACCACGACAUAACUUGUCUUUAUAAAUAUCCAUUCCUUGCAGGCUUGCGAAACUACUCACUUGAAAUCUGAGUCUGUUUGGCAGGGAGACAGGGUCAGGGCAGCUGGAAGUUGGCAUAGUUACUCUAGGCUAGUCCAUCACAAGCCACCUCACUUAAAGGAGGAAUGGAAGCUGGUGUGGUGGUUUACCACCAGGACUACUGGCAGCUCCCACCUUGUGACCUGGGAUUGCAAGGUGAUCUGUGAAGAGAGGCUCUGAAAUAUCAUCAGACAUGCUGCGAGGGUAUGCUUGCUGCUGCUUAAGUGCUUUGGAGAGGGACAUCUAUUAAAUAAGUUCAGUAUUUUCCUUUCCUCUUCAAUCAGAUCAUCUCUCAUGUCUUUCUUUUUCUCCCUUCUUGAGACAACAUCCAAAAAAUAACAUGUUCUCAUAAUAAUAAGAUGAUGUUUUGUCAGAUUAAUCCAUUCAAUAAGCAUGAGCUCUUAUGAUGUGCCUGAUGGUGGGCUAAGUUAUGGAAAUACGGAACUGAAAAAUGUUGUUUAUGUGAUGAAUGAGUUACAGUCUAGUGGGAAAGACAGUAGUUAGAUAAACAAGUAAAAUAAAAGGUUAAAAGUACUAUUACUGAGGGUUUCCCUCUAUGGCACAGUGGGUUAAGAAUCCAGUUGCAGUGGCUUGGGUUGUUGCAGAGGUACAGUUCAAUCCCUGGCCCAGCAGAGUGGGUUAAAGGAUCUGGUGUUCUGCAGCUGCAGCUCAGAUUCAGUCCCUGCCCUGGAAACUCCCAUAUGCCAUGGAUGUAACCAUAACAAAAUAAACAGGUACAAUUAUUGAGGUAUCUGCAAGAUUCUAUAAUUAACAGUCCUUAAAAAUUAUCAGAAUAAGUGCAAUACACAUAAUAAUAUAUGGAUAAUAAAAAAAUUCUCAAGCUUAAUGAGAGUGGACUUAUAAAGGAUUCAUCACAUAUAAGGUAAUCAUGAAACAAGAUCAUCAUUUAGCUGUAUCCUGAAGAAUUUUAUUUUUUUCACUAAUUGUCUUAGUUUGAAUAAAGUUUCCUAACAGAAGCAAAGAGUGAUCAUUUUUGGAAGAAAGCUUCCCUUUUAAAAGACCUUUAUUAUUGUUUAAACGAUUUGGAUUGUGUAACUAUAGUUCACUAUAGAACAAUGUAAUGCCAUUUUUAAAAUGUGUUUCAUUUUUCUUGGAGUUUAUAGUUGCCUUUAUUUUCAAGUUUUUUGUCCCUACCUGCUUUUAGGCCUCUUAAACCCACUUUUCCUUGGAUAAUUCUCUUGAGUUAAAUACAUUGGUUCUUUGUAGCCCCCUCAUAAUAUUUCCACGAUAGAUCAUUACCCAGAACAUGGUCACAUGGCCAACUGAAUGCAAAAAUAAAAGUCAAUUUAUCAUUAAUUGACAUAUAACCUCAAGUAGUUUUCUCCAUCAUCUUAGAUUAAGUGCAGCUGCAUAUAAGAGAAUAUUUAAAAAUUAAUGCAGCUUGAGUAAAAUGAAAUUUUAUUUCUCUGUUACAAAGAGAAGUUUGGAGGUAAGCACUACAGAACUGGUAUGGUGGGUUCAUACUAUCAUCAGGAAUAUAAUUUCCCAUCUGUUUUCUUUUUUUUUUUUUCUUCAUUAUCCUCCAACUGUGGCUUUCAUUCUCAAGGAAGCCAAAAUGAAUGUUAGCUUCAGUGACCAUGCCUACAAAUUAGGAGGAAGAGUAAGAGGGGAAUGAUCCCUCUUCUUAAGCAGUUUUCUCCAUGAAGACCUCAACAACAGAGCCACUACUAAUCACUGGCC